UAACACGUGAGCAACCUGCCUUUCAGAGGGGGAUAACGUUUGGAAACGAACGCUAAUACCGCAUGACAUAUACGAACGGCAUCGUUUGUAUAUCAAAGGAGCAAUCCGCUGAGAGAUGGGCUCGCGUCCGAUUAGCUAGAUGGUGAGGUAACGGCCCACCAUGGCUUCGAUCGGUAGCCGGACUGAGAGGUUGACCGGCCACAUUGGGACUGAGACACGGCCCAGACUCCUACGGAAGGCAGCAG
rnacentral:rRNA from 1 species